rnacentral:piRNA from 1 species
AGAGCCAUUACAGGAACUGUUUG